rnacentral:rRNA from 1 species
UACGUAGGGGGCUAGCGUUGUCCGGAAUCAUUGGGCGUAAAGAGCGCGUAGGCGGCCAGAUAAGUCCGGUGUGAAAGUCAAAGGCUCAACCUUUGAAAGCCGAUGGAUACUGCGGAGCUAGAGUACGGAAGAGGCGAGUGGAAUUCCUGGUGUAGCGGUGGAAUGCGCAGAUAUCAGGAGGAACACCAAUAGCGAAGGCAGCUCGCUGGGACGUUACUGACACUGAGGCGCGAAAGCGUGGGGAGCGAACAGG